GGAGAGAUGGCUCAGUGGUUAAGAGCACUGACUGUUCUUCCAGAGGUCCUGAGUUCAAUUCCCAGUACCCAUA
rnacentral:tRNA from 1 species